GAAAUUAGAUCACUGGGUGUGUUGUACAGACUUUGCUCCCACACGACUGGAAGGGACGACAUUCAUCGUCAUCAUUAAGGAGAUGUGGCAGUUUAUUGAGUGGGAAAAAGGGCUGUUGUGGAAUUUGAGCUGGCAUUCAAGGUUCAUCCAACGCAGGAGGUCAAAAUGAAGAGUCUGGUUGGGUAUUGUGUGCUCAUUUUGGCAUUUCUUUUGAGCUGCACAGAACAGACUAAGAAACGCCAGAAGGUGCUUU